AGAUACUAAAAAGGCAAAAAAAAAAUGUUCAAUCCUCCAAAUUGAGGCAAAUGAUCUAGUGUCAUGCUCUGGAAGGAAUUUCCACUAAUUAUAGAGUCAACGGAAUUGGGAAGAGGACAGAAGUCAGUGUCCUAUCCAUGCUUUGCCUCAGGGUGAUCCAAGCAGGACAGCCGCGCGGGAGAACACAGACAUGUGCUGUCUCACCUGCUGCCAACACAUGGCUAGAAACACUGUCCCACAGCAAGUGGAUGGAUCAGUGAAACUAAGUCUCAAAGCUCAGCCCGUGGCUUUGGACAUUGUCUCAGAGGAGGAACUCAGGGAAUAGAUCAUGAGUCCUUAAACUUUCUUGUGUGCUAUGGAUCUCUUUGGCAGUUUGGUGAAGCCUCUGGAUUCCCUAAAAGAUCCUAUGAAGUAUAUUGAAAUACAGUCAUUAAAAUAUUUUGAAAAACA